CUUGAACCAAGGGGCAGGCAUGGAGACCUGUAAUUUCCCUGGUUUUCAAAAGAAAGAGAAAGGACGAGUAAUUAUUUUCAAUAUUUUUUCUUCUUUUAUUUUCUCCGAUUGAAAAGAGCAGAGCUGGAUGACAAUCGGCCGCUCAACAUAGUUAUUGAGCUGUGGCGUUCACAUUUUAAAUCGGGGAGUCAUGAUGUUUUGAGCAGUUGUCUGUGGAAGGAUUCUUCGAAUGUUGUUCAGAAGAAAAAUAAGAUGCCGUCGUUCUGUAUAAAUUGCUCGCUUUCGCUGCCUAAUCAAUACCUACCGUCGCUAUUGAUAAUAACUGGUGAUUUGGUUGCUGCCAAUGCUCGGAUCUAAUGCUGGCUGCCUUUUUCUUAUUCUUUGUUGAUUAAUUGAUGCCUUGUGGCUCUGUCAGUGUGAUGAGUUGGCUUCCUAACUCGGUAUUGUUCCAUGCCCCCUCGUAACGCAUGCAAGCUAUAUAUGUCGUUGAAAACUCAUCUGAUCAGGUCGUCUCGUCUUAAUAAUUAAUAGCUUUGGUUUUGUUUUU